CCUACGGGCGGCAGCAGUGGGGAAUAUUGCACAAUGGGCGAAACCCUGAUGCAGCAACGCCGCGUGAGUGAAGAAGUCUUUCGGUAUGUAAAGCUCUAUUAGCAGGGAAGAAGAACGACGGUACCUGACUAAGAAGCCCCGGCUAACUACGUGCCAGCAGCCGCGGUACUACGUAGGGGGCACGCGUUUUCCGGAUUUACUGGGUGUAAAGGGAGAGUAGACGGCUGUGCAAGUCUGAGGUGAAAGGCCGUGGCUCAACCGCGGAACUGCUUUGGAAACUGUAUCGCUUGAGUACUGGAGAGGCAGGCGGAAUUCGUGGGGUAGCGGUGAAAUGCGUAGAUAUUAGGAGGAACACCAGUGGCGAAGGCAGCCUGCUGGACAGAAACUGACGUUGAGGCUCGAAAGCGUGGGGAGCAAACAGGAUUAGAUACCCCAGUAGUC
rnacentral:rRNA from 1 species